rnacentral:rRNA from 1 species
UACGAAGGGGGCUAGCGUUGCUCGGAAUCACUGGGCGUAAAGGGUGCGUAGGCGGGCCUUUAAGUCAGGGGUGAAAUCCUGGAGCUCAACUCCAGAACUGCCUUUGAUACUGAGGAUCUUGAGUAUGGGAGAGGUGAGUGGAACUGCGAGUGUAGAGGUGAAAUUCGUAGAUAUUCGCAAGAACACCAGUGGCGAAGGCGGCUCACUGGCCCAUUACUGACGCUGAGGCACGAAAGCGUGGGGAGCAAACAGG